rnacentral:piRNA from 1 species
GUGGCACGGUGUGAAACUUCAUCUGCAGC